rnacentral:rRNA from 1 species
ACUACGCUGGCGGCGUGCCUAACACAUGCAAGUCGGACGAUUCAUCUUUGUAGCAAUAUGGAAGAUGGGGAGUGGCGCACGGGUGAGUAAUACAUAGAUGAUCUGCCUUUCAGACUGGGACAACUCAGGGAAACUUGAGCUAAUACCAGAUAAGACCACAUGAAGGGAUUCACGUGAUCAAACGGGGGAGCAAUUUCCUGCUGGAAGAUGAGUCUAUGUCCUAUCAGUUAGUUGGUGGGGUAACGGCCUACCAAGACGAAGACGGGUAGCCGGCCUGAGAGGGUGAACGGCCACACUGAGACUGAGACACGGCCCAGACUCCUACGGGAGGCAGCAGUGAGGAAUUUUCCGCAAUGGGCGCAAGCCUGACGGAGCGACGCCGCGUGAGGGAUGAAGGUUUUCGGAUCGUAAACCUCUUUUAUCAAGGAAAAAGGCUGUAAUGCUUAUACCAUUGCAGUUUGAUUGUACUUAAUGAAUAAGCCCCGGCUAACUACGUGCCAGCCGCCGC